rnacentral:lncRNA from 1 species
GUUACAUCAUAAAAAGCUAACGGCUCCCUCUAAGCCCGGGUUCAAAGUCUCCCCCCCCUCCUCCCGGCACACACAUACCCGGGAAGAAAGCUGGAGCUGUCGCUCCUCUGCCAGCCCUCGUUGUGCCUUCCCUUUGUGCGAGCCCCCGCUAGCUAAGCAUGCAGCGAAGGAGGGAGGAUGCAAAGGCGGCCCGGGGGGAAUAAGCGCUCCCGCAUGCAGCCAGGGGGAACCGUUGUGUGCUUAUCCCGUGUUACCAACGGUAACGCUAUUAAUCGACCAACAACAACAAAAAAAUCACUAAUUCCACAUCUUUAAGCAAAACUACGUUACGUAAAUAUCUACAACCAGAAAGAGAGAGAGAAAUUCAGAGCUUGAAAGAGCGAAGCGGGCCCGGGAAAGGCUGCAGGAACCGAGGAGGCUCACACAUGGCCCUCAGCGUUAGCGUGGCUCUCUUCCGCUCCCCCCGCAGCCCCGAAGCAGCUAUUAAGAGUUUAAGGACAUACUGAGAACGUCUAAAAUCGUUAAUCCGUACAGGUGCGGAUGACUACAGCCUAGGAAAAUGAUACUGGCUCUUUAAACCAUCAAGAUGUGUUUAUAGGUUCAUCAAGAGAAAUUAAAGUUGGCUGUGAGCUCCCGAAUCCUAUUCUCUCUGUUCAUUUUCUUCAGUUUCAUUCUGCGGUUCUGAAACCAG